CACACUUCUGUGAUUUUACAGCAUGGCAGGGACAGACACACAAGUGUGUGUGGCCUGAGUGCUUCUUGAACUCAAGGAUUCCUGUGCCAGGAUCCGUAGCUGAGCCCAACAUUUCGCUGUGACUUCAUGGCAGUCAAAGAGGGAUGAUGAUUUAUGUGUCUGUUGUUAUCUGACAUUUUAAGAAGUCACCAGUUCUUUAGGAGAUGAAUUCGUUCUCCAGUAUAAAAGUGUAAGAGAAGCUGAUCCCGGGAUACUGAAAAGCUAAGGCAGGACUCAACAUUUUUCUGUUUUCAAACGUCAUUGCCAAGAAGCCCUCAAUUUCAAAUGAGUCACUGACCCAGUAAAUUACCUAAUGCGUCUACAGCUCCACCCACCUUCGCAGUCUCAGAAUGCUCAAGUGGAAAACGUUGCUUGGGGCAGGUGACUCCUUAGGACUUGGAAAUGAGGGAAAUGUGGUUGCUUCCACCAUAAAAUCGGAAAUUCCAAGGGGGCACAAUAGAGAUGUGCCAAUCUGGGGAAAGACUCUUAGGCUGGUUAAAGGCCCUAAUAACCUAAUAGAAGAUGUUGGCUUAUCUAAAUUAUGUGUCACUGUAAUAUGGGGGUUGGUUGGCAAAAAAGGACCAAAAUAGUAGAGUCUGAAAGGCUGGGGCUGGUGGUGCCCUUGUGGACAGGGUGCAGGGGCUUCACUGGCAGGUGUACCCACCAACUAUAGAAAUGAAGAAAUUGGGCAGUUAGAGCCAUAUGUUACUAAACAUUCAAAUGAUAACUUCCCUUUCUCUGAAUCUAUGCUCAUCAAGAAAUAUUAUGUGAUUGACUUUCCAAAUCUUCAGGGAAAAUAAGGCUCCCAGCAGAUGGGAUGAUGCCCACCUCUGUUAGCGAGCGGGAUCUUCUUUACUCAGUCCACCAAUUCAAAUGCCAACCUCUUUGCAGAAGAGAAAUGUCCUCGCAGACACACCCAGAAACAAGAUUUCACUAGCUACCUGGGCAUCCAUUACCCUAGACCAGUCAACACAUGAAAUUAACCGUCACGCAGCCUUCGGUUGGUCUCACACAGUCCGUUACAAGACUACAUGGAUACUUUGCUUUUGGGCACUCAAGCUCUUGAGUUUAUCUAACAUUCUGAACUUG
rnacentral:lncRNA from 10 species